rnacentral:rRNA from 1 species
AUGAGAUGCAUGAGUUGGAACUGCCGGGGGCUUGGGAACCCCGAGGCAAUUCAAGAGCUUCGCAGUUUAGUGAAGCAAGAAGGACCCUCUCUUCUCUUCGUCAUGGAGACAAAGAUUAGAGGCAAGCGUGUUGAAUUUCUGAAAUAUGGACUUGGUUUCAGUGGCUGCUAUGCAGUCGACAGUGAAGGGUUGAGCGGAGGUAUUGGUCUGUUCUGG